UCCUGGCUCAGGAUAAACGCUGCGGCGCACAUAAGACAUGCAAGUCGAACGAACUUAAUACCUUGCUUGCAAGGUAAGCGGUUAGUGGCGGACUGGUGAGUAACACGUAAGAAAUCUGCCUAUCAGAGGGGAAUAACAGUGAGAAAUCACUGCUAAUACCGCAUAUGCCAUAGUCAUCGCAUGAUGAUAGUGGGAAAGAAGCAAUUCGCUGAUAGAUGAGCUUGCGGCUGAUUAGCUAGUUGGUGGGGUAACGGCCUACCAAGGCGACGAUCAGUAGCCGGACUGAGAGGUUGAACGGCCACAUUGGGACUGAGAUACGGCCCAGACUCCUACGGGAGGCAGCAGUCGGGAAUAUUGCGCAAUGGAGGCAACUCUGACGCAGUGACGCCGCGUAUAGGAAGAAGGUUUUCGGAUUGUAAACUAUUGUCCUCAGGGAAGAAAAAGACUGUACCUGAGAAGAAAGCUCCGGCUAACUACGUG
rnacentral:rRNA from 1 species